rnacentral:rRNA from 1 species
GGUGAACGCUGGCGGCGUGCUUAAGACAUGCAAGUCGAACGGCAGUCUUCGGACUGUAGUGGCGCACGGGUGAGUAACGCGUAACUGACCUACCCCAAAGUCGCGGAUAACGAUUCGAAAGAAUCGCUAAUACCUGAUGUGCUGUCAGAUUGUGUUCUGCCAGUAAAGAUUGAUUGCUUUGGGAGGGGGUUGCGUUCCAUCAGCUAGUUGGUGGGGUAAAGGCCCACCAAGGCGACUACGGAUAGCCGGCCUGGGAGGGUGGCCGGCCACAGGGGCACUGAGACACGGGUCCCACUCCUACGGGAGGCAGCAGUUAGGAAUCUUCCACAAUGGGCGAAAGCCUGAUGGAGCGACGCCGCGUGAGGGAUGAAGGUCUUCGGAUCGUAAACCUCUGAAUCAGGGACGAAAGACACUUCGGUGGGAUGACGGUACCUGAGUAAUAACACCGGCUAACUCCGUGCCAGCCGCCGCCGUAACAC